UCAGAACGAACGUUGGCGGCGUGGAUUAGGCAUGCAAGUCGAACGAAUCCCUGGGGCAACUCAGGGGGAAGUGGCGAAAGGGGCAGUAAGGCAUGGGUAACCUACCCCGAGGACCGGGAUAGCCUUCCUAACGGAAGGGUAAUACUGGGCGAUCUGGUUGAGGGGCAUCUCUCGGCCAGCAAAUGAAUUUCGCCUUGGGAGGGGCUCAUGUGCUAUUAGCUAGUUGGCGGGGUAACGGCCCACCAAGGCGAAGAUGGCUAGCGGGUGUGAGAGCACGACCCGCGCCACUGGCACUGUGACACUGGCCAGACUCCUACGGGAGGCUGCAGUCGAGGAUCUUCGGCAAUGGGCGCAAGCCUGACCGAGCGACGCCGCGUGUGCGAUGAAGGCCUUCGGGUUGUAAAGCACUGUCGAGGGGGAGGAAAGCCCGCAAGGGUCUGACCUAUCCCUGGAGGAAGCGCGGGCUAAGUUCGUGCCAGCAGCCGCGGUAAGACGAACCGUGCGAACGUUGUUCGGAAUCACUGGGCUUAAAGGGCGCGUAGGCGGGUUCUCCAGUCAGGGGUGAAAUCUUUCGGCUUAACCGGAAAAGUGCCUCUGAU
rnacentral:rRNA from 1 species